ACUGAGAUCUGUGUGGGAAAGGUGGUGCUAGCUGCUGGCACAAGUGGAACCUUGGCAUCAGCUGCUGGAACAGUUGAGGGUCUUUAACUCCUUUGUUCCAAACUGAAAAAUUCCAAAGGCAGUGCCCUACAUGGGUAACUCUGGUCAUAAGUACCACAGACUGAAGCCUGGUCAGUGUCUGUGUCAGGAUUCAGCAGUCCCAGGACCACAGGAAGGAAGGUUUUUCUUUCCAAACAAGAGAACCUCUUCAAGAAUUCUUCAAAAGAGCAGCAGGACACUAUGAGUUAGU